GCCAGCACCAUACUUCACUCCCUCGCGGAACACAGAAAGAAGUUUCUCGUCAGACCUGGAGUUCUCGAUGGUGAUAACGUCAGCAUCCAUGUCGAUAAUUGAAUGGAUGAUGUCGUUGAAGUUUGAAUAGCACAUGUGAGUGUGAAUCUGGGUAGUGUCUUGAACACCACAGUUGGUAAUCCUGAAUGAAUGUACAGCCCAGUUCAAGUAGAAAGCUUCCUCGGAUUUUCUAAGAGGUAAACCCUCUCUUAAAGCAGCUUCAUCAAUCUGAAUGACAUUAAUGCCAGCCUUCUCGAGAUCUUCAACCUCAUCCUUAAUAGCCAAAGCUAUUUGGUAGCAAGUCUCAAA
rnacentral:misc_RNA from 1 species